rnacentral:rRNA from 1 species
AGCAGCCGCGGUAAUUCCAGCUCCAAUAGCGUAUAUUAAAGUUGUUGCAGUUAAAAAGCUCGUAGUUGAAUUUCGGGAUCAGUACGCUGGUCGUGCCUUUGGUAUGUACUGGUGUCACUGAUUCCUCCCUUCUGAAGAACCGUUAUGCCAUUUAUUUGGUGUGGCGGGGAAUCAGGACUGUUACUUUGAAAAAAUUGAGUGUUUAAAGCAGGCUCGCGCUUGAAUACAUUAGCAUGGAAUAAUGAAAUAGGACGUUUGAUCCUAUUUUGUUGGUUUCUAGGAUCGACGUAAUGACUAAUAGGGAUAGUUGGGGGCAUUAGUAUUCAAUUGUCAGAGGUGAAAUUCUUGGAUUUAUUGAAGACUAACUACUGCGAAAGCAUUUGCCAAGGAUGUUUUCAUUAAUCAAGAACGAAAGUUAGGGAUCGAAGACGAUCAGAUACCGUCGUAGUC